rnacentral:rRNA from 1 species
AACGUAAGAGACAAACGUUAUCCGGAGUUACUGGGCGUAAAGGGCGUGUAGGUGGUUUCGUAAGUCUGGCGUGAAAUUUUUCGGCUUAACCGGGAAAGGUCGUCGGAUACUGCGGGACUAGAGGACGGUAGAGGCGUGUGGAAUUCCGGGUGUAGUGGUGAAAUGCGUAGAGGUCCGGAGGAACACCAGUGGCGAAGGCGACACGCUGGGCCGUACCUGACACUGAUGCGCGACAGCAUGGGGAGCAAACAGG